AGAGAAAAAAAACACCCUCGUUCUGCUUAUUCAUUAUAAGCGCUUGGCAGUGUGCUGUUAAAAACGUGCGAUCUCUUGUUUUUAGAAGCAUCUGUGCUUUAAGAAUAAGGUUUUGUCUCCUUGAAUGUGGCUCUUCAUAAUAAUCUCUUGAAGUGCUGCGUUUUUGUCCUUAAAGUUCUAUUUUAUUACCUCUUCUGGAUCGGUGAAGGUCGGUUUAACCCUUUAGAGAUGAAAAUCAGGAGCCACUUUAGGAAAAUGUUGCUUUUUUUCUUUACUAAUUCGUGGUUGCAAUAAUAUUUUAUUGAGGAUUUUUUCCCUCCCAGCCCAGUCCUGCAUGCUGAAGGAAGUGUGUGCUUCAGCACUGAUUAAAGUCAUGUAUGAGUUAAUGAGAAGCUUGCAGAGUAUGUGAAGCAAGAGAAAAUCUUUAACCAGCUCUGCUGUUCCUUCUACAUACCACAAACUUGCACGCUGUAACCAGAAGGUGGAUUGAAUAUGUGUGAAAUGCUGCAGUAGGAGACUCUUAAAUCGCAUCACAGGUUAACAGAUUGAUAGCACAGAAGAGCCUCUGAGGUGCUGGAGGUACCAGCAGUGGUGUCAACAUUCCAGUUGUGGGACUUCUAAUUUAAGAAACAUAUUGUCAUAAGGAAUAAGAUCAAGGCUGAAUCCUGCUUGCAUUUAGGUCCAAAUGCAAAAUAUGCUUUGGAAGGAGUCCCCAGGGAACACUGAGAGUAAUUAAGUAAAAAUAAAACCUUUCACUUCAGCCCCCCCCUUCUCCUUUUAACACAGACAAGUCAGUGCGAUGCUGUUUUCAUUCCACCAUUUUCAUUAUGUGUCCUGAUAUUUCUUAAUUUCGUAUUGCAUCUGAAAUCCUCGAGUGACUUAUAAUUUCUGUGAUUUGGGGGUAUUUCUAGACCAUACUUUUAAAGAAGUCAUCUCACUGUGUCCCAGAAGGAGCCAUUGAACAGUCAUUCUCAUAAACAGCACUGAACUUCUUACAGCCUCGCUUUUCCAAACACCUUUUUUUUUCACCCCCCUGUAGUUUUAAUCCUUAACUAUUGAAUUCCCUUUUCUUUACAUUAAGUAAAUAUUUAUUAAUACCAGUUGAGGGGGUUUUUUUUUCAUCUUUUUAAAAGAACAGAGCCUUGUCACUAAGAUGAUCCUUUCGUAUUGAGGAGAUGACAUAAAAAAGGAGUGAAGGAGAGUUGUCUUGUGCUGGAAAAUGCCAUUUUUGGAAAACAAUACUAUAGGAAAUGGAAAUGAAAAAUACAUUUUAUGCUGGUGGGAACUUGUAAUGAGGCUAAGAGAGGAUUUGAUGUCCCAGAAAAGCAAUGAUUACAAGGGGAAAAGCGGGACUUUAUCAUCCAUUUGUAAAAGUUCUCGGGCUGAAUAUCCUUUUGGGGAGCUGAAAUUUGGCUCAAGUCUGCUUAUGAACAUCUGUUGAAUGGAAUUUUAAAAAGGCACAGAUUAUAAUCUUGGUUUCUGUUGGCUGUUUAAGAUGAUAAAAUAAAGCAAAAUAAAUUUUUCUCCAAGUACAUUUGGGGAGUUUUUUUGUUAAUAAUGAGGUGGGUGAAUGUUCAAUUAUCUCUACUGCUGGUUACCUGGUUGUAUAUGUGUUUCCAUACAUUUUUCUCCAUUGCAUAUAAAAUAUUCCCUCUACCCCUUCCUAUAGCUGUUUAAUUCCAUUUGAACACUCCUUGUAAGCUUUCAAGUUUUGGUUGGUUUGUUUUGGUUGGGGGUUUUUUUUUGUGACAGGAGGCUCUUGGAUUUUGGCAUCCGUGACAUUUUUUGCACCAAGAAUACAGUGACAUAUUCGAAGGGAAAUUUUGAGAGCUCUUGGGUAUUCCCAGAACUGCUUCGAUUCACAUCCUGCCCACCUGUCCCUCUGACAGGAUUCUGUAAAUUCAACCACUUUGUGUCCACUGGCUCUGGGUAGCACCACUUCAGCAUCUAUUUCUGCAGCGUUUGUGACCUCCAGUUAUUCAGGGAGGUCUUCACUGUAAUUUUCCCUCCUAUUAUUUUGCCUCUUUUCGCAGCCUGAUGUUUUUUUUGCUCUUGUUUUCUCUUCCAAGCGAGGAUGCUGUGAGUGCUUCAGCUCAAAAUUUAGGUCAUCUCCGAUGGAAGAAGGGAGACCUAAAAAGUAAAAAUAAGAUUUCAGUGUGCCUUUAAAAGUGACAACUCUUUGGGAGAAAAAAAAAAAAUGUGUGAGCUCACCUGUAUUCUGUGGCAGUAGGGAAUGGAGGGAGCCUUUGCUGAUUCCAGAAGGAAAGCUGAGUAUCUCCUUGGGAGGGUGGUUUCUCUUCCAUGUUUUCCUGAUCUUUCAUUUUCACACCUGAUUUGAGCUUUAAUCACUCAAAUUAUUCAUAGGCUUGCCCUGGAAAAAGAAGAGAGUGACCUUUCCCCAUCUGGAGUAGAUGGAUUUGCCAUCAACAAUUGUAAAUGGAUGACUUAAUGAUGGGGUCUACGCUUGGAACUUUGAAUUCUGUGAUUUCACCGCGUUUCCGGAGUUCUGCACGUGGUCUUUUCCGAACUGAAAGAUGAAGAGGUGGCAGACCCAAGGAAGGAGCCUUUGCCAGCAUGGAACACUGUGUGUUUGAAAUCAUGGAAAACCUCCCCGGGGCUCAGACAGUCGAGAACAGGAGAUCCCAAGAAGGGCAGCCAUGGUUUGUUGCUAUGUUGCCAGAGCAGGUACGUUCUGUGUGGAGAGAUGAAGAGUCCUGAGAUGGAAGACACAGGUGAUCCAUGUUCCUGGAGUGUUAUUUAUGAUAGAAACAAAGGACCCUUAGAAAAGCCAGACCUGUGGUGUGAGCUUCUGGAAGGCACAGCCCUUUGGGAUUUUUGGAAAGCUGUACCCCUAGAAAGUCCUGGUUUUCCAACAGUUCCCUGCAGAGGCAGAGGACCCCUCUCUCCUGAGGUGACAGUGUGUGCAGGCUCAGCUCCACAAGGAUCACUGCUUAGUUCUCCAAGCACUGUCUGACACAGGGAAUGUGCUGAGCUGGUCCCUACUCCAGGGCCCACAUUAAUUCUCUCUGUGUUCCAUGUUUCUUCACGCUCCUGUGACCGGGAUGAAUUUA